ACGCUGGCGGCGUGCUUAACACAUGCAAGUCGAACGGAGUUCCUUGGAUAGAGGCUUCGGCCAAUUGAAUUGGAACUUAGUGGCGGACUGGUGAGUAACGCGUGAGGAACCUGCCUUUCAGAGGGGGACAACAGUUGGAAACGACUGCUAAUACCGCAUGACACAUUCGGAUGGCAUCACCUGAAUGUCAAAGAUUUUAUCGCUGAAAGAUGGCCUCGCGUCUGAUUAGCUAGUUGGUGGGGUAACGGCCCACCAAGGCGACGAUCAGUAGCCGGACUGAGAGGUUGACCGGCCACAUUGGGACUGAGAUACGGCCCAGACUCCUACGGGAGGCAGCAGUGGGGAAUAUUGGGCAAUGGACGCAAGUCUGACCCAGCAACGCCGCGUGAAGGAAGAAGGCUUUCGGGUUGUAAACUUCUUUUAAGUGGGAAGAGCAGAAGACGGUACCACUUGAAUAAGCCACGGCUAACUACGUG
rnacentral:rRNA from 1 species